rnacentral:rRNA from 1 species
CCUACGGGAGGCAGCAGUGAGGAAUAUUGGUCAAUGGGCGGAAGCCUGAACCAGCCAAGUCGCGUGAGGGAAUAAGGCCCUACGGGUCGUAAACCUCUUUUGCCGGGGAGCAAGGGCCGGGACGCGUCCCGGCCCGGAGAGUACCCGGAGAAAAAGCAUCGGAUAACUCCGUGCCAGCAGCCGCGGUAAUACGGAGGAUGCGAGCGUUAUCCGGAUUUAAUGGGUUUAAAGGUGGAGUAGGCGGAAUAGCAAGUCAGCGGUAAAAAUGCGGGGCUCAAACCCGUCGUGCCGUUGAAACUGAUGUUCUUGAGUGGGCGAGAAGCAUGCGGAAUGCGUGGUGUAGCGGUGAAAUGCAUAGAUAUCACGCAGAACUCCGAGUGCGAAGGCAGCAUACCGGCGCCCAACUGACGCUGAAGCACGAAAGCGUGGGUAUCGAACAGGAUUAGAUACCCCAGUAGUC